UAAAAUAGAUGUUACGUCCUGUUAAUGGGGCACGUCAUCAUCGCGUACAUUUGGGAAAAACUCCCUAACGAGACCAAUGUGGAAAUCGUCCGAUAAUAGAAUGCAGACAUUUUUUUCAUGCAUGUUGGGGUUUUUCCGAAAUGCUUGAUAAUCUUAGCGGUUUAGACAAUUUAACAGUUAUGGAAUAUUACAAAUAUUUAUUAUAAGGAUAAUUUAUCAUAAUAUCGAUAUUCUCGAGCUGUUUUUAUGCUGAUUCCGCCCAGAUUCCGCAGGUUUCGCAGAAUCCGCAGGAUCCGCUAAAUCGCCAUGCCCCAAUUCCACCGGAAGAGGCUAGAGAAGCAGGUCCAGGACAGAUUGCCGCGAAAAUUUAUAAAUAGUUUGGGAAGCUGGCUUGACAUCCUGACAAAUCCGGCCAUCGAUCACUCGAUAUGUGGCCUCGAUAUGUUUACUCCCUCAAUCAGAAAGAUGCGUAAGGAGUAGGCCCUGUUUGUAAGAGGAUGCUGCGAGAGGAUGUUAUAAGUUUCCCCGAACUAUUUAUAAAUUUUCGCGGCAAUCUGUCCUGGACCUGCUUCUCUAGUCUCUUCCAAUUCCACCUUGUCAGCCACAUUCAUUGAUGACGAGAUGCGAGAUCCUAAUUGGAAUGCAAAUCUUUCAGUCAACAACAGCGAACCCGAUGAUGAUUUAGGGGGUGAUGAGGUCAAGGUCAAGAAAAAGUUGUAUGUGGUACCCGAGGACAAGUUGCUUUCCCUUUUCAAGAUCGGCCAGAAGUGUGGACACAAGGGAGCAGAGGCUACAGUUGCGUCGUUUCACGGAACACUUGUGACAAUUGCACAGCAGUGUUUCUCUUGUGAGGAGCCCACCAAGUGGAGCAGCCAGGAUAUAGUCAACGGUUACCCGUGCGGUAACAUCACAUUAUCGGCAGCUCUCCUCAGCUCUGGGAAUGUCCCCAGCAACGCCCUGAGGAUGCUAAAUCAUUGGGGAGUUCAGGGUAUUGUUCGUGGUUAUUCAUUGCAUGACACUAAGACCAACACCAUAAUAUGCACAGAACGUGUGGUGUCAACAGAACCAGAUACUAAGAAAAGUGCCGCAAUGGAAGUGUUGGGGUUAUCACGAGCUCUUGGUGUUGUUGACGAUUACUGCCCACACCUGGAGAUUAAACUGAUCACUGAUGGCCAUGCUGGUGUGUCAAAGUAUGUCGGGGAGAACCCGCACCCUGACAAGGUGACCCAUUACCUGGACAUUUGGCAUGUAGCAAAAGGGAUAAAGAAGAGGUUGGCCAAGUUGGUCAAGCGCUUUCCAGAAGUGGGCAAGUGGAAGAGGAGCAUUGUGAAUCAUCUUUAUUGGUGUGCUGUUACCAGCUACAACAAUGGGGGGAGUUGAUACUGGCCAAGUGGAUAUUCAUCGCGAACCACAUUGCCAAUGUCCAUGAACAUGACAGCGAACUUUACCAAAUGUGUGUGUUCACAUGGAAAAAUCCGUCCGAGAUGUUGGUUUGACCGAGGUUCUGAGGCAUAUGACACACUCUGCCAUAGAGUGAUCUUGAACAAGCUGGUCAUGAAAUCUGUUAAAAAGCUCAGUUCUGAUGCUCAGACCUCAGGGUUGGAGGGCUUCCACAGCACUCUUAACCAGUUUGCUCCCAAGAUGUACCACUUGGGCUACCAGGCAAUGAAGAGCAGGUGAUUUCAUUCACCAAGACCAAGGAGAACAGCAAUCAUCCAUUGGGCAUACCGACUUGCUGCUUACCAUCAGUUUACGUGGUGGACACACAACAGACUUGGCAAGCGUGUACGGAAAGUAAUACCGUCAUGUGUCGUGAAAAGAAUCCGUGCUAAGUUCCCAGACCCAGAUGGCAACUACACAGGUUUCAGGGAUGCAGACCCAGAAGAAAAUGAAGACGAUGCUAUAUAUCCGGAUUAAACAUGCACUUGUUAAGAAAAACAUUGCUAUUGCAGUAUUGUGGCUGGUGUGUGAGAGUCUACAAUGUAAAUAAUGUCAUUGUCGCAAUGCAUUCAGUGAUCCAUAAAAUGAAAUUUGAGAAUUCUUUUCAACAAUAUCAUCAACAGAGAUCAUUUCAUAAAAGUGA